AUACCUUUCUCGGCCUUUUGGCUAAGAUCAAGUGUAGUAUCUGUUCUUAUCAGUUUAAUAUCUGAUAAAUGGAAAUCUACCGUUUCCAGGUGAAUCUCUAUAGGACUUUCCUAUAUGUUUGUCUUCUUGAUAAAAAUUUUUUAUAGGGAAAGGACCUUAAAUAGUAGCUUGCUACUUGGGUUCCUUUUAUGUCACCCUUG
rnacentral:snRNA from 1 species